rnacentral:rRNA from 1 species
CUUGCUUCUCUUGAGAGCGGCGGACGGGUGAGUAAUGCCUAGGAAUCUGCCUGGUAGUGGGGGAUAACGUUCGGAAACGGACGCUAAUACCGCAUACGUCCUACGGGAGAAAGCAGGGGACCUUCGGGCCUUGCGCUAUCAGAUGAGCCUAGGUCGGAUUAGCUAGUUGGUGAGGUAAUGGCUCACCAAGGCGACGAUCCGUAACUGGUCUGAGAGGAUGAUCAGUCACACUGGAACUGAGACACGGUCCAGACUCCUACGGGAGGCAGCAGUGGGGAAUAUUGGACAAUGGGCGAAAGCCUGAUCCAGCCAUGCCGCGUGUGUGAAGAAGGUCUUCGGAUUGUAAAGCACUUUAAGUUGGGAGGAAGGGUUGUAGAUUAAUACUCUGCAAUUUUGACGUUACCGACAGAAUAAGCACCGGCUAACUCUGUGCCAGCAGCCGCGGUAAUACAGAGGGUGCAAGCGUUAAUCGGAAUUACUGGGCGUAAAGCGCGCGUAGGUGGUUUGUUAAGUUGGAUGUGAAAUCCCCGGGUUCAACCUGGGAACUGCAUUCAAAACUGACUGACUAGAGUUUGGUAGAGGGUGGUGGAAUUUCCUGUGUAGCGGUGAAAUGCGUAGAUUUGGGAAGGAACCCCAGUGGCGAAGGCGACCACCUGGACUAAUACUGACACUGAGGUGCGAAAGCGUGGGGAGCAAACGGGAUUAGAUACCCUGGUAGUCCACGCCGUAAACGAUGUCAACUAGCCGUUGGAAGCCUUGAGCUUUUAGUGGCGCAGCUAAGGCAUUAAGUUGACCGCCUGGGGAGUACGGCCGCAAGGUUAAAACUCAAAUGAAUUGACGGGGGCCCGCACAAGCGGUGGAGCAUGUGGUUUAAUUCGAAGCAACGCGAAGAACCUUACCAGGCCUUGACAUCCAAUGAACUUUCUAGAGAUAGAUUGGUGCCUUCGGGAACAUUGAGACAGGUGCUGCAUGGCUGUCGUCAGCUCGUGUCGUGAGAUGUUGGGUUAAGUCCCGUAACGAGCGCAACCCUUGUCCUUAGUUACCAGCACGUUAUGGUGGGCACUCUAAGGAGACUGCCGGUGACAAACCGGAGGAAGGUGGGGAUGACGUCAAGUCAUCAUGGCCCUUACGGCCUGGGCUACACACGUGCUACAAUGGUCGGUACAGAGGGUUGCCAAGCCGCGAGGUGGAGCUAAUCCCAUAAAACCGAUCGUAGUCCGGAUCGCAGUCUGCAACUCGACUGCGUGAAGUCGGAAUCGCUAGUAAUCGCGAAUCAGAAUGUCGCGGUGAAUACGUUCCCGGGCCUUGUACACACCGCCCGUCACACCAUGGGAGUGGGUUGCACCAGAAGUAGCUAGU